rnacentral:rRNA from 1 species
UGGAUAACUGUGGCAAUUCUAGAGCUAAUACAUGCAGUGAGCCUGGAGCCCUUUGGGUAACGGGUGCUUUUAUUAGACCAAGAUCGAUCGGGUUUCGGCCCGUAUUGUGUGGUGACUCUGGAUAACUUUGUGCUGAUCGCAUGGCCACGAGCCGGCGACGUUUCUUUCAAGUGUCUGCCUUAUCAACUUUCGAUGGUAGGUUACUUGCUUACCAUGGUUGUUACGGGUAACGGAGAAUCAGGGUUCGAUUCCGGAGAGGGAGCCUGAGAAACGGCUACCACAUCCAAGGAAGGCAGCAGGCGCGCAAAUUACCCACUCCCGGCACGGGGAGGUAGUGACGAAAAAUAACAAUACGGGACUCUUUUGAGGCCCCGUAAUUGAAAUGAGUACACUCUAAAUCCUUUAACGAGGAUCAAUUGGAGGGCAAGUCUGGUGCCAGCAGCCGCGGUAAUUCCAGCUCCAAUAGCGUAUACUAAAGCUGCUGCGGUUAAAAAGCUCGUAGUUGGAUCUCAGUUCCAGACGAGUAGUGCAUCUACCCGAUGCGACGGCUCGGACUGAACAUCAUGCCGGUUCUUUCUUGGUGCACUUCAUUGUGUGCCUCGAGAUGGCCGGUGCUUUUACUUUGAAAAAAUUAGAGUGCUCAACGCAGGCGAGUCGCCUGAAUAAACUUGCAUGGAAUAAUAGAACAAGACCUCGUUUCUGUUCUGUUGGUUUUUGGAAUACGAGGCAUU